UCAGAAUCAACGCUGGCGGCGUGCCUAACACAUGCAAGUCGAACGCGAAAAUCCCGCAAGGGAUCUGUAGCGUGGCAAACGGGUGAGUAACACGUGGGUGACCUGCCUUCGAGCGGGGGAUAACGUCCCGAAAGGGACGCUAAUACCGCAUACGAUCUACGGAUGAAAGUGGGGGAUCGCAAGACCUCAUGCUCAUGGAGCGGCCGAUAUCUGAUUAGCUAGUUGGUAGGGUAAAAGCCUACCAAGGCUUCGAUCAGUAGCUGGUCUGAGAGGACGACCAGCCACACUGGAACUGAGACACGGUCCAGACUCCUACGGGAGGCAGCAGUGGGGAAUUUUGGACAAUGGGCGCAAGCCUGAUCCAGCAAUGCCGCGUGAGUGAAGAAGGCCUUCGGGUUGUAAAGCUCUUUUGUCAGGGAAGAAACGGUGGACUCUAAUACAGAUCACUAAUGACGGUACCUGAAGAAUAAGCACCGGCUAACUACGUGCCAGCAGCCGCGGUAAUACGUAGGGUGCAAGCGUUAAUCGGAAUUACUGGGCGUAAAGCGUGCGCAGGCGGUUGUGCAAGACAGAUGUGAAAUCCCCGGGCUCAACCUGGGAAUUGCAUUUGUGACUGCACGGCUAGAGUGUGUCAGAGGGGGGUAGAAUUCCACGUGUAGCAGUGAAAUGCGUAGAGAUGUGGAGGAAUACCGAUGGCGAAGGCAGCCCCCUGGGAUAACACUGACGCUCAUGCACGAAAGCGUGGGGAGCAAACAGGAUUAGAUACCCUGGUAGUCCACGCCCUAAACGAUGUCUACUAGUUGUUGGGUCUUAAUUGACUUAGUAACGCAGCUAACGCGUGAAGUAGACCGCCUGGGGAGUACGGUCGCAAGAUUAAAGCUCAAAGGAAUUGACGGGGACCCGCACAAGCGGUGGAUGAUGUGGAUUAAUUCGAUGCAACGC
rnacentral:rRNA from 1 species